GGGGCUGUAACUCAGUGGUAGAGUACUUGCCUGGCAUGCAUGAGGCACUGGGUUCGAUUCUCAGCACCA
rnacentral:tRNA from 1 species